rnacentral:rRNA from 1 species
AGUUUGAUCAUGGCUCAGAUUGAACGCUGGCGGCAUGCCUUACACAUGCAAGUCGAACGGUAACGGGCCUUCGGGUGCCGACGAGUGGCGAACGGGUGAGUAAUGCAUCGGAACGUACCUUUCAGUGGGGGAUAACGCAGCGAAAGCUGUGCUAAUACCGCAUACGCCCUGAGGGGGAAAGCGGGGGAUCGAAAGACCUCGCGCGAUUAGAGCGGCCGAUGCCUGAUUAGCUUGUUGGUGGGGUAAAAGCCCACCAAGGCGACGAUCAGUAGCUGGUCUGAGAGGACGAUCAGCCACACUGGGACUGAGACACGGCCCAGACUCCUACGGGAGGCAGCAGUGGGGAAUUUUGGACAAUGGGGGAAACCCUGAUCCAGCAAUGCCGCGUGAGUGAAGAAGGCCUUCGGGUUGUAAAGCUCUUUUGUCAGGGAAGAAACACCGGCUCUAACACAGUCCGGGAAUGACGGUACCUGAAGAAUAAGCACCGGCUAACUACGUG